CACUCCCAACCUCUCCAACUCUCCCUACUCUCACCCCUCCCAUCCAGCAUUCCCAUACCUACACACUACAUAACCUUGCCACUGCACCAUGCCCUCCCUUCCCUUCAACCUGCUUACCUCCACCACCACCUUCACCCCGCCCAUCUCUGCAACCUCCGUAUGUUCUGCAUUUGUAGCUAGAAAGGGGAGGAAGAAGGUGAACGCAGGAAAGAAUGCAGGUGUCUGAACUUGAAGUACAUACACAACAGGCCAUGAAUGACGGGACAUCAGGGCUACAGGGGUUACCCCCGUAAGUAAGUACAACCCAAUUUUAGUCACGCAUAAUGAUUUCCUUUCCCCCGAUCUUGCAGGUCUUAGUGUGUUAUAGGUGGUAGAUGUGGAGACAGCAGAGUCAAAAAGCGUGAGCCGCACCUGUGUGAGGAGUGAAGAAGGAUUAAGAAGAGUUCAACUGGGCAUUGCCAUCAAAUGUUGGCAUCAGCACCUAGCACCUACAACGCCUGAGAGACUUCCACCUACCAUGCUGAGAGAAUGAGAAAGAGCUUCUUUCCCCAGGUCAUAUGGA